rnacentral:rRNA from 1 species
AACGAACGCUGGCGGCAGGCCUAACACAUGCAAGUCGAGCGCGCCCUUCGGGGUGAGCGGCGGACGGGUUAGUAACGCGUGGGAAUAUGCCCAGAUCUGCGGAAUAGCCUCUGGAAACGGAGAGUAAUACCGCAUACGCCCUUCGGGGGAAAGAUUUAUCGGAUUUGGAUUAGCCCGCGUUGGAUUAGGUAGUUGGUGGGUAAUGGCCUACCAAGCCGACGAUCCAUAGCUGGUUUGAGAGGAUGAUCAGCAACACUGGGACUGAGACACGGCCCAGACUCCUACGGGAGGCAGCAGUGGGGAAUCUUAGACAAUGGGGGAAACCCUGAUCUAGCCAUGCCGCGUGAGUGACGAAGGCCCUAGGGUCGUAAAGCUCUUUCAGCUGUGAAGAUAAUGACGGUAGCAGCAGAAGAAACCCCGGCUAACUCCGUG